AAUCAACGCUGGCGGCGUGCCUAACACAUGCAAGUCGAGCGAGAAAAGGGGAGCAAUCCUCUGAGUAAAGCGGCGCACGGGUGAGUAACACGUGGGUAAUCUGCCCUGAAGUGGGGAAUAACACCGGGAAACCGGUGCUAAUACCGCAUAUGAUCACGGUGUCUGCGGACACAGGGAUGAAAGGAGCAAUUCGCUUCAGGAGGAGCCCGCGGCUGAUUAGCUAGUUGGUGAGGUAAUGGCCCACCAAGGCUACGAUCAGUAUCCGGUCUGAGAGGACGGUCGGACACACUGGAACUGAGACACGGUCCAGACUCCUACGGGAGGCAGCAGUGGGGAAUUUUUCGCAAUGGGGGCAACCCUGACGAAGCAACGCCGCGUGGAUGAUGAAGUAUUUCGGUACGUAAAAUUCCUUUUGACAGGG
rnacentral:rRNA from 1 species